rnacentral:lncRNA from 1 species
CAAUAUUCUUAGCCAAGAAUAUUGCUGGACACCUGUCAGGUUCCUUGCGGACUAUUGGAUCAGUUGCUGUGGGCCAGUAUGGGGUGAGAGUAUUCAAGUCCUCUCCAGCAGCUACUAGCCUGAACUUCAUUGGUGGUCCUUCAAUUCUUCUGGGUCUCAUUGCUAUGGCCUCUGAUGACCACACUAUGUAUGCAGCUGUCAAAGUCCUGAACUCCAUCCUGAACAGCAGCCCAAUGAGUGAAAAAAUG